rnacentral:rRNA from 1 species
UACGUAGGGCGCAAGCGUUAUCCGGAAUUAUUGGGCGUAAAGAGCUCGUAGGCGGUUUGUCGCGUCUGCCGUGAAAGUCCGGGGCUCAACCCCGGGCUUGCAGUGGAUACGGGCUGGCUAGAGGCAGGCAGGGGAGAACGGAAUUCCCGGUGUAGCGGUGAAAUGCGCAGAUAUCGGGAGGAACACCGGUGGCGAAGGCGGUUCUCUGGGCCUGUACUGACGCUGAGGAGCGAAAGCGUGGGGAGCGAACAGG